AACGAACGCUGGCGGCAUGCCUAACACAUGCAAGUCGAACGAAGGCUUCGGCCUUAGUGGCGCACGGGUGCGUAACGCGUGGGAACCUGCCCCUCGGUUCGGAAUAACAGUUAGAAAUGACUGCUAAUACCGGAUGAUGACUUCGGUCCAAAGAUUUAUCGCCGAGGGAUGGGCCCGCGUAGGAUUAGCUAGUUGGUGGGGUAAAGGCCUACCAAGGCGACGAUCCUUAGCUGGUCUGAGAGGAUGAUCAGCCACACUGGGACUGAGACACGGCCCAGACUCCUACGGGAGGCAGCAGUGGGGAAUAUUGGACAAUGGGCGAAAGCCUGAUCCAGCAAUGCCGCGUGAGUGAUGAAGGCCUUAGGGUUGUAAAGCUCUUUUACCAGGGAUGGUAAUGACAGUACCUGGAGAAUAAGCUCCGGCUAACUCCGUG
rnacentral:rRNA from 1 species